UAGCUUACAGCUGAGGAGCCCCCCAGGGCCCCAUCACAGUUCUCCUCAGGUCAGCAGCAGGGCUAGAAACAUCAACAGCAGCCACUGACUGCUGUGAGAGGCUCACUCUUCAGCUGCACAUCUCCACAGGGCUCUCUGAAGAUGGCUGCAUGAGUGGAGGUUCUAAGAAGGCUGCAAUGACCACAGGGCAAAGGCAGGUUCUGCCUUCCCAGGAUUAUCUCAAACAGUUUACACUGGUUGUGGUUAAAGAGAAAGGGAUAGACAGCAUGGAGCACGAAGAGGGGUGCAAAUGCUGCCCUUAACUGAUUCUCUAAAUCAGAACACCUAACACUCUCCAUGGAAAUUGUGUUGCACUCUUACCAGCUCCUUAUACUGAGUAAUAUGACAGGUCCAAAUCCAAGUCCCACUAGUUCUGAGAUUAAGAAGAAAAUUGUUGUCAGGCUGCAAUGGACAAUGAUGGAUUUAUGAUUCUUUGGAAAACCACACCUUGUUUUGAAGGAUUAGACGUUGUAAUCCGUACAUCAAGUCAACAAAAACACACCAUAGCAGGAACAGGCAAGGAGCAAGGCAUCCAAUUACUAAUGCAAAAUAAUGCAGGUUUGUUUUUUUUUCACCCUACUGUCAUUAGUGUUAGCUCAUAUAAAAUCACUUUCCUGCAGCAGAAGCUGCUUUCUGUAUGAAGUGAAAAUAUACUUUCCCCUUCAAGAGCUUCUACUCUUCACUGUAGAUGUGCCCAAAUUUUGAGGGGCAUACCCAAAAGUAGUCAGGGAAGGAGAGAGCAGGGCCGGGCUCACGGGCUCUCUGGGGUUGGGGCAGUGGCAGUGGCACAGCGGGGUGACUCUCCCUGCGCCCCUCCCCGGCACACUGCAGCCACCAGCAAACCCCUGAUGGGCUAAGGUGGGCCUGCCCCAGACAGAGAGUGUGCUUUGAGUGCAGGCUAUGAACAAGCCAGUACAGAAUUCCACUUCUGCAGAGGCUGUGAAAGAGGGGGCAGACUGCGGACAGACGGCACCAGCCUCGCGUUAGCUGAGUUAAUCACUGCGUCACUCUGGGUUAACUCACCUCUUUCUUCAUGCCCAUUUUGGAACUUGAUCAUCAGAAACACCUUGUUAUUCUUUCUGCGUCUCCUAUUAGCAGCCCCAGAAGUGACAUAGGAGCAAAUUAGCUGUUUUGUAGUGGCAAGGGUAUUAUUUUCUGAAUUUGGGGUAAUUAAAGCUGUGGCAGCAUUGGCAAGGGUGGACUUCAAUCACAUUUUCUCUCUGAAAUUAUGAGCACGAGAAAGAAGAACAUGCUAACACCAGUGAGAGAGAAAAUUCCAUAAUUAUUUGACCUAUUUUACAAGAUACAAAAUAUUUUGGUCUUAUGGGACACUAUUUGGAGUAAAUCUGGUUUUAAAAUAUGCCAAAAAUUUGGUGAGUUGGUGCAGGUCUUCAAUCCCAUUCAAUUAUUUGCCUACAGUACCACACAUUGCAGGGAGACAUAAGAGGAAGAGGAAAUGCAGAAUAGUAACCACUGUUAAUGUAAAAUGCACAAAAAUGGAUUAUAAACACAGGGCCAAGAAUUUUUUUCCACUCUAGCCUGUAAGAAUUUUGCAAAAAGCUAAGAGCAGUUUGUAAUGUGAUCAUGUCUCAGAACAGAAAGUGAGAGCGUUCACACCAGUUCUGUGCUGGAAUCUCAAAGCAGCACCUUCAUCCAGUCACUGGCUUGUGAGUCUUGAAGAUACAAAAUUGUGAAGAAAGACUUGCUUGGAAGCUUUUUCUGCAACAGUCAAGUACUUAAAAGUUAGACAAAGCUGUACACGCAGCAUGAGGCAUUUGUCAUCUGCACAACAGAAGAAAACACCAUAUUCAGAAGAAAUAGAUGUUGCAGUUUCAAGCCUGAUCCUUUAGUGCAGUGUUUGAUCUAGGAACAGUAAUCACAUCCCAUUUACUGUGCUGAUAAAAGAAUAUGGAGCUGCCACAGUCAGUUUGGAUGGAUGCCAAGACAAACUCAGGCAGAACUGAAAAAUCCCGUUAAGAUGACUGAGUGGCAAAUGAUGGUUAUUUAUUCUAAUCAAUUUGUUAAUUUACUUCUGGAAAA